rnacentral:snRNA from 1 species
AGCUCAGAACUGGUACGG